UACGGAGGGAGCUAGCGUUGUUCGGAAUUACUGGGCGUAAAGCGCACGUAGGCGGCUAUUCAAGUCGGGGGUGAAAGCCCGGGGCUCAACCCCGGAACUGCCCUCGAAACUAGAUAGCUAGAAUCUUGGAGAGGCGAGUGGAAUUCCGAGUGUAGAGGUGAAAUUCGUAGAUAUUCGGAAGAACACCAGUGGCGAAGGCGGCUACCUGGACCGGUUCUGACGCUGAGGCGCGAAAGCGUGGGUAGCAAACAGG
rnacentral:rRNA from 1 species